CUUGUUGCUCAAAUUAUGACAUCACUCCCACUGGCCUUGUUGUAACUUAGCAUUCAUUCAAAAUUAACACUUAUAUUUUCUUGAUUUGAAUGCGUGUUGCUCCCACUAACUUGUCUUGGAUCCAUUGAGAAUUAUUGAGAUCCAUUAGCUUAUUGAUGAUGUUCUCAACAAUUUUGAGACCAUCAACAACCCUAGUUAACACAAGUUAUUUAAAUGAAUCACAUACAAAAGAAUUCCUUCUAAAGUAAUUCCUUUUGAAUAUGUGACUUGUUUUAUCAAGUCUAUUCAUUUAAUUAUACGAUGUCAUACACCAUACUAAAAGUUUUAGUCAUACUAAGACCUUUAAUGUAGUCAUAUAAGAAUUAUCUAAUUCCUUAGUGGAAGUAUGGCUCCUACUAAGGAUAUAGAUUCUCAACCAUUCCUUCUAGGUGGUUGAUAUAAUUCUCUAUCAAAACUACAUAGAGCAAUAUCGUUACAUGAGAUGUUGAAUUUGGAUUGUCGGGUUGUUAAACCAUAUGUUGUGACUCAUUUUUGAAACUUAUUCCCUUUUGUUUCAUCAACUUGUCCAUAUGCUUUGUUAUUAGCAUGUUCUCAUAAAAGAGAAUGAUGGACAACUCCCAACAUAUAACCAUUUUAUGCUAGGUUGACGAAACCAACAUUCAAAGACUAUUCUUUAAAUGUUACACAACAUAGAUUUUUAACGUUUGAAGAGCUUGAGUCCUUUUAACAAUUAAAAUUACAAACUCUUAAUAAUAGUCAAGUACUAUUAUUCUUUAGAUAACUAUAAACCAAUCACAUUCAAGUUUAUAUCCAUUUUCACACCUCCCACUAUUUCUCAUGACUUUAAUGAGAAAUCAUUUCAUUCAUUCAAAAUGUAUAAAAUUGGAUUAUAUUGGUAGAAGACAUUGUGUAGUAGCUUUGAAACAUUUCAAGCUUAUUUGUUUCAAUCUUCACUAAGUUUAAUGUCUUGUUAUUUAAGUGACUAAAGUCUUUAAACCUUUUAUAGAUUUAGACACUUCUUUCUUGGUUUAAUUACUAACACCAUUGACAUUUUAAAACAAUUUUAAGAAUGCCCAAUUAAUUGUUCAAAACUACUAAUUGAAUCAAGAGUAAUCUUGAUCAUUGUGUUUCAAGUGAUAACCAUAUAAGAAACGUUUUUCUUAUUACUUAUAUCAUUGUAAAUGUGAUCUUUCCUUUUCUUCAAGAAAGGAUUCUCUAGACUUUUGUCAAUUCAUAUAGAACUCAUAAGUAGACAAAUGGAACCAAAUCUAAAGAUUCAUUGUAUCCUUUUAUGUCUUACAUGUAAGAUCUAUCCAUAAUUGAUAAAUCUAAAGUUUAGUUUAUCACAUUACAAUUAAGUGAUAUAACUCUUGUAUCUCAUCUAGGAUACAACAAGACAAUUUUCAAUUCAUAACACUACUUUAAGGAAAUAGUAUAUUAAAAAGGCAUACUUCACAUUACAUUAAUAUGAUAGUUCAAACAUUCAUAAUGUUUAAUACAAAAGGUAUUAGCUCUAUACAUUUAGAGACUAAUAUAAAUGCCUUUAUACAUUUAGGCACUAAUAAUGGCCUUCCAUCAAAUGAAGCCAUAUAAUUAGUUCUUAACAAAAUAAGAAAGUUUAAAGACAAUCUUUAAAUGCCUAACAAACUUCCUAAGUAGUAAGCAAAAAAACAUGGUGGCCGAACUCUUCUCCACACUUUUCCUUGCUUGUUCCU
rnacentral:lncRNA from 1 species